rnacentral:tRNA from 1 species
UGCUGUGCUGUGUGAGGAUGUUCCGUACCGACGUAUAUUUUAAGUUUACGAUACAUUUCCCGACCUAAUGGAUUCUUAGGGAGCAUGCCCUUCACUGCAC